rnacentral:rRNA from 1 species
GACGAACGCUGGCGGCGUGCUUAACACAUGCGAGUCGAACGGAAAGGCCCUGCUUUUGUGGGGUUCUCGAGUGGCGAACGGGUGAGUAACACGUGAGUAACCUGCCCUUGACUUUGGGAUAACUUCAGGAAACUGGGGCUAAUACCGUAUAGGAGCUCCUGCUGCAUGGUGGGGGUUGGAAAGUUUCGGCGGUUGGGGAUGGACUCGCGGCUUAUCAGCUUGUUGGUGGGGUAGUGGCUUACCAAGGCUUUGACGGGUAGCCGGCCUGAGAGGGUGACCGGCCACAUUGGGACUGAGAUACGGCCCAGACUGCUACGGGAGGCAGCAGUGGGGAAUAUUGCACAAUGGGCGGAAGCCUGAUGCAGCAACGCCGCGUGCGGGAUGACGGCCUUCGGGUUGUAAACCGCUUUCGCCUGUGACGAAGCGUGAGUGACGGUAAUGGGUAAAGAAGCACCGGCUAACUACGUG